UACGAAGGUCCCAAGCGUUGUCCGGAAUUAUUGGGCGUAAAGGGCUCGUAGGCGGUUUGUCGCGUCGGGAGUGAAAUCCACUGGCUUAACUGGUGGCUUGCUUUCGAUACGGGCAGACUGGAGGUAUGCAGGGGAGAACGGAAUUCCUGGUGUAGCGGUGAAAUGCGCAGAUAUCAGGAGGAACACCGGUGGCGAAGGCGGUUCUCUGGGCAUGUCCUGACGCUGAGGAGCGAAAGCGUGGGGAGCGAACAGG
rnacentral:rRNA from 1 species